UGAAACUUCCUAGAUCUUUAACCUUUGGAGAAAGCGCCUUCUGCAAGAUCACACUGCAAUUUCCCUAUACCUCAAUUUCUUUCUCAUCUAAAUAUCUUUUCUUUUUGAGGUAUUUCUUCAGAAAUUUAGCAUAACCAGGAACUUGUUGCAAUGCUUCAGUCAUAGGAAUUUUAAUCUCCAAUUUAUUGAAUAUUUCUUUAAAACACCCUAAUUGUUUCUCCUUUUCUUCACUCGAACACACCUUAGGGUAAGGAAGAAUUUUCUCAAAUUUCUCUUUUUUCUCCCUCAACCUCUUCUUUUUCUUUUCUCUCCUCUUUCACAUCUAUCUUUUCUCUCUUUUUCUCAACCUCACUUUCUCUCUUUUCUUUCUCUUCUUUCUCUGUCAACCCAACUUUUUCUUUUCUCUCAACUAUUCUCUCUUUUUCCCUCCCUUUACUUACUUUCACAAUAGAAUGACACUCUUAUUUAGGGUUAACUUCAGUAUUAAUCCCAAAUUGCUUUUCAACUUUAUCCUCCAAUUUCUUGGCUAGUUGGCCAACCAAUAUCUCCAAAUUCCUUAUAACAACUUCAGUGCUUUUGUGGUUGGAAAUAGUCACUUGCAUAAAUUGUUGAAGAGUUUCUUUAAGCUUUGUCGUUCUCUUAAAUAAAGAGGAUUGUUGCUGCCACUAUUGUUGUUGUUG
rnacentral:lncRNA from 1 species